UUUUAGUAAGCCAGCAUUAUUCAACGGAAUAUCAAAAUUGAGCAACAGGAACGACUAGUAUUUACGGUAUUUCUUUGAAAAUGAGACAGUAUAUUUCUGAGGGUCGAUAAGAUACAUUUUCUGAACUGAUAUCGAUAAAUGAGCAUAUAAACCGUGCAUUGGAAAAGAAACAGAGAGGCUGUGCUAAAGGCGCAUCUACCGGACGACCAAAUCUUCAAUGUGUAGCAGAUCGAGGACUCGGCUGCUCUUCUGGACCUACGCCUACUCCAAAAGAGUUAACGUGACCAAGUGAAUUUUUCUCUCCUGUUCAUCCGACUAAUUGUGUUCCUAAAACGUUUAUUUUGCGUUCAUGUGCAAAAUGAGCGGGACCAUGGAUUUGGAUGCAAAAUUUGUUGAAAUUAACCCAACAAACACGUUUUUAAGUGCCGAGCAACUUGUUACGCACCGCCAUUUGGAGAUCGAAGCCACAUGCGGUGGCCUGAAGCGCACACAGAACGAGGGAAGUGCAGCUGAGCUUGAGGAAAUUACCACUGCUCUAUCUAAUCUGCGGGCUCAAUUGUCAGUGCCACGCAUAGAACGACUCGGAGGGAGAGCUCUGGCCUCUUGGGAUGAGGAACAACAAGCAGCGGAAAUACUGCGUAAGGAUGGAAAAUUCGGGAGCUUCGGAUACAGCGUGCAGAGUAAACUCUAUUUGGAACACUACGAGGCCUUGUUUCUUCUGGAGUUGGGUCGCCUGCAGCUGGAGUACCAUGAUGUGACUGUUUCCGUGGAACAGGCCUACGUCUUAUUGCUUGGAGAACUGGAGAGUGAAAAGUACCACAAUUACUUGGUUUAUUCAGCAUUGUCUCGUGCUGGUUAUAUAGUGGUUAGGCAUAAGCGCCAUCAGCCAGCAGCAGAAACAGUGACCAGAGCAGAUUGCAUCUGGGCUCUGCUGAAGGAGAAGGUUGGGCAUAUUCCAACAGCUGCACAUAUCAAAGCUUCACCGCUCUAUGCAACUGUGGAGAAGAGUAUGGAAGACGUCAAACAGUUAAUCAUGUGGCCAAAUACCGAGCAGAAUGAGAAUAGCGGAGAGCGGAUCGAUUUCAAAUUUGACACACGAAAGCGAAAAGCACAUGCAGCGUCUAGGGACUAUCCUGGCAGCAAGAAAGCAUGUCUAUCAACAAGAAAGAGCCUUGUAGAUCUUCCAAAGACAGAAGCGACAUUUGCGAGAUUCGAAAAUGUAUUUAAAAAAUUCGACAUUGUGCAGCUUAAAAGCAACGAUUACCCAACCGAUGAUCAAACAACUCCACCUUCCUUCAGUAUAUCGUUUGACUUGCAUCUUCAUAAUGGAGGCUUCAAAAAGCGUACUCCCAAAACGCCCACCUUCAACGUGAUGAUUCUCCCGCCCGAUGCGCCGUUUCCGACACACAGUGAGAUUGCCCAGUGCCAGCGUCAACAGCUCCAUACAGCGCCCCUGCUCGUCGUGUCGGUUAGCGAAUCGAAACAGAUACAGGCGUUCUUGUACUUUAUUAGUUGAUGAUGUCGGACUCUGCGGAUGUGCUACCUCAAUAAAUUUUAGCAAUCACUUUUUGUGCAGACGGGAGAAGUUCCGACAAAACAUGACCAAUCAAACAUUGUCAAAACAUUCGAAAAAAAUUCAUUUAUUUGAAUGUACAUAUACUGUUUGGCUUUUUAAUUUCAACAAAAUUUACUCCCGAAAAUGAACGCACCAAUAGUUUGGAUAAUGGGAAGCGCGAACAGCGGCAAAGACGUCCAAGUU